rnacentral:rRNA from 1 species
UAGGGAAUCUUCGGCAAUGGACGGAAGUCUGACCGAGCAACGCCGCGUGAGUGAAGAAGGUUUUCGGACCGUAAAGCUCUGUUGUAAGAGAAGAACGAGUGUGAGAGUGGAAAGUUCACACUGUGACGGUAUCUUACCAGAAAGGGUCGGCUAACUACGUGCCAGCAGCCGCGGUAAUACGUAGGUCCCGAGCGUUGUCCGGAUUUAUUGGGCGUAAAGCGAGCGCAGGCGGUUAGAUAAGUCUGAAGUUAAAGGCUGUGGCUUAACCAUAGUAGGCUUUGGAAACUGUUUAACUUGAGUGCAAGAGGGGAGAGUGGAAUUCCAUGUGUAGCGGUGAAAUGCGUAGAUAUAUGGAGGAACACCGGUGGCGAAAGCGGCUCUCAGGCUUGUAACUGACGCUGAGGCUCGAAAGCGUGGGGAGCAAACAGGAUUAGAUACCCUGGUAGUCCACGCUGUAAACGAUGAGUGCUAGGUGUUAGACCCUUUCCGGGGUUUAGUGCCGUAGCUAACGCAUUAAGCACUCCGCCUGGGGAGUACGACCGCAAGGUUG